AUGUGCCUGAAAGAAGAAGAGAAUUUGAAAGGUCUCCAUCUGGGACGUCUGAGAAUGAAGAUCGAAUUACUGAUCAGGAGGAACAGGAUUCAGAGGCUGUUGAGUCUGAAGCCACAGACACUAUGAUCGAGGAACCUCAGACAGAGCAGAAGAGGAUCACUCCAGUCAGGUGUGCAGUGGCAGAUGAAUCAAUAGAUUGCUCAAAUUAAAAGCGUUUGUCUUGACUGUUUUUAACAAUGCCUUUGCUCUGUGGUGUCAUCUGUACAGCUGUUCUGCUGAUGGUUCCUCAGUUUAUGCUCAGGGCAGUAUUGCCCCAGAGAGACACGGUCAGUUUGAUGAGCAAACACCCACCAAGCUGGAAGGGGCAUCUCUAGUCAUGAUAAACCUUCAACAGACCUCAGAGCCUAAUGAAGGUGGGGUUCAUGUUAUUCAGAUUGAGAAUAUUGCUUUAAAUGUCACUAGUGUUGCUAACAAUGAUUGGGACAUGACAUCUUCAUGGGGGAAGUCGUGGCCUAACGGUUAGAGUCUUGGACUUGGAAGAUUGUGAGUUUGAGUCUCGGGCCGGCAGGAAUUGUAGGUGGGGGGAGUGAAUGUACAGCGCUCUCUCCACCUUCGAUACCACAACUGAGGUGCCCUUGAGCAAGGCACAGAACCCCCAACUUCUCCCCGGGCGCCGCAGCAUAAAUGGCUGCCCACUGCUCCGGGUGUGUGUUCACGGUGUGUGUGUUCACUGCUGUGUGUGUGCACUUUGGAUGGGUUAAAAGCAGAGCACGAAUUCCGAGUAUGGGUCAGCAUACUUGGUUGUAUGUCACGUCACUUUCACUUUCACUUCAUUUAGAUCCUGCUGAGAAGCCUGAAUAUAAGAGUCCUGUUAAAGCCAAGCAUAGUGAUUUGGAUCAUGACAAAGAGAAGAUCUCCAGAGAAGAUAAGCUUCUGUCAUCUGAAGGAACUUUACAGGAACAUAAACAGGAUGAGGAUCUCCUGUCCCCUUUUUCUGAUCCUCCAAACGAACCUGCAAGCAACAUGUCUGAUAUGGACAUGAUGCAGUUUAGUGAGUCUGCAGCUGAAGACGUUCAAAUACCAGACGAGCAGGAUUCAGAAAAUCAGGACGGCACAGAGGAGCCAUCAGAAGCUUCUGAGGAAUGCAGUGCCUCUCUCAAUGAAAAUGCAAAAUCUGAAAUUUCAGAUUCAGCUGGAGUGGAUACAGAUAAACAUUCUGAGGAGGAGCCCACAUUUAUUUUAACUCUAUAUGAGAUUCCAGUCUCUGAGUCUGCCUUUGGGCAGCAGGACACUCCCCCUUAUGAACUGCAGCCAGCACAAGUCCAGACACCCUUGCUGUUCUCAAACAGUUCACAUUCUCAUUAUUUCAAAUUAGAGCCUUCCAGUGCAUCUCCGAACAUGGCGUCUGAAGAGACCAGUAAUCUAUAUAAAAGUAGUUCUCGCAAGGUGGUGGAUGACUCCCUGGAUCCUCUUUCAAAGGAAGCAGCAGAUGAUGCUAGUACACAAUUGAUAUCCUCACUGGAAAGCAGUUGUGAUGAUGUGAACUCUUUAAUUAGUCCACCCGGGAUGUUCUCUUGUAAUUCUGCCACGCCAACACAUGUGCUGAAAUUGGAUGAGAUCCUGACAGAAUCCCCAGAAACUAAAGCACCUUCUCAGAGGAGAUGUAGAUGUCAGAAUCUACCAACAUCUCAAACCACAGCACAAACUGAGAUUGAGACCAACCAGACACUAUCUGUGCAGGAAACAGUUGGUCCUGAAAGCCACUCAAGCCUUGAAGACAGUGAGAGGGAAGCCCAUCCUGGGCCUGAUGGCAUGAUAUCAACAGCCAUUGUUCCAGGGUCUGAAGAUAUGAGAGAUGAGAGUCACCUGAAGUGGGAAUGUCCUCUCAGAACAGAACUCCAGAGGAAUGAGGACUCUGUUGUUGACCCUCCAGUGAGUCAGAGGCUGUUCUCUGUUGAAACAGACCAGUUUUUUUCUGUAUAAAUCAGUCAUUCACGUAAGUGUUUCUUCACAGGUACACAGUACAUUCAUAAAGGAGUCUGAGGGGAACAACGAAGCUGGUUAUGAGGGUAUUUCACACAUAGUGUUGGCUGAUGCCUUCGUACUCUCAUCAGAAGAAAUGAAGGAUGUUUUUAAUAAGGAAAAAGAAAGCCUUUAUGAUAGUGAGCUCCAAAUACCUGAGGGCUUAUCUGUAUGUCUGACAGAGAGUGAGAAAUCUGUUCAUUCAGUUAUUGACCAAGUAAGUGUUUUUGUUUAUAUCCAAACAAAACAUUAGUCCUCAAUAUGUUAUGAAAUUGCCUGACGAGUGGUCCAUUUCCCAGAAAUAAAGCUCAAUAAGUAUUUAUCUACUUUUUUAAU
ensembl:lncRNA